CUGAGUGUGUGUCUUUGCCUUUCCAGCUACAAAAAGUCCAAAAAGCUCUUUGUAGAGCUAUUCCCUGAGUGUGUGUCUUUGCCUUCCAGCUACAAAAAGUCCAAAAAGCUCUUUGUAGAGCUAUUCCCUGAGUGUGUGUCUUUGCCUUCAUUUUUCACUGCCCUCCACUC